rnacentral:lncRNA from 1 species
AUGGAUUUGGGGCAGCUGCAGAGGGAGCCACAGAGUGAAGGGGCAGGGGAGCAGGUGGGGCAGGAGGGUCUUGAGGGGAUAGGGAGAGUUUGAGGGCUUCAGGGUGGACCGUGGUUUCUAGUGGUUUCUAGGAGAGGUAGGGGGUCCAGGUGGAGAGCCGGCGGGGAGUGGCAUCCCAUGCAACAGUAGCAGCGCCCAGAGGCCCCACGUCCCCAGGCCCCACAUGUGCACAGCCCCAGGUGCCGAGAGCAGCGUGCGUGUGCACCUGCAGGUGUAAAGAGCACCUGGCCACACACCUGUGAAGAGCCCGCCUUUUGUCCUUCCCACACAGGAAUGGCAGGCUCCCAGCUGCCCCCGCCACUUCUGCUGCUGGCUCUGGUGCUGCUGCUGGGGAAUUUCUCUUCACAGACACCUCCAGAGCAGACUCAAUGGAGCGGCGCCCCUAGUUCAGGGGAAGACUCCAUGAUCUCCCAUAGGUCUUCAAGUUCAGAGGCAAACCCCACCAUCCAGCCCAGCUCCAGCUCCACAAGUCCAGGGUUGGCGCCCACCUUCCCACAACCAGAAACAGUCACCCCCUCCCAGUUCUGGCUCCCCCAGUUCAGAGCUCACCACUACCUCCCACUCCGCAAAUUCCACCACCUUGACCCUGCAUUGGAGCUCCUCUUCUCCCAGCCCCAGAACAGAGCCCCCCUCCAUGCCCUCCAACACCACUGAUGGGACCUCUGUGGCCACUGGCCCUGCGAGUCCGGGAGUCGGUGGAUUCUGGUGUGGUCCCCAUGAGCCCACUUGGCAGUGGUGUCAUCCGGAGAAGGUUCUCAGGGACCCCACUGCUGCCACCGCUGUCAAGCCGCCUUGGAACCCCUGGAGAGGUUGAGCCCAGUGCCUGCGUCGUAUUCACCAUCGAGGCUCGAGGGACAGAGCCAAGCCACCAUCCAGCCCCAGGAAGGUGAGGAGGCAGAUGGGGAACAAGGGGGCCAGUCUCAGGAGACAGAGAGUGCCUCAUCUAGAUGAACCUUUCUCUAACUUGUUCAGAAAACAUUUAUUAAGCACCUACUGUGUGCCAGGACUUGCACUAGGAACAUAGCCAUGGGCAAGCAGGUGCUCAAUGGCUGAUGAUGGAGAGAGACUUAUACCAGGUGGAGAGAUCAGGGUGCCAUGGGAAUCCAGAGGAGGCUUCUGACCCAGCAUUGGGGGUUACAAACAAGGUGAGGAAAGGACUACUUGGAAGAGGUGGCAUCUAAGGUUGGCAUGAAGGAUGAAAAGGAGUCAGUCACAGAAGCACAGAGAAACAUAUGCCAAUUAGAAGGAAGAGAUUGUACAAAGCCUUGGACUCAAGAAGAUCAGGUGUAUGAGGAACUGAACACAGACUGGAGGGGAG